GCACUCGGGGCCCAGUGCAUCACCUGCUCCUACAAGGCCAGCUCGGGGCUGCUGUACCCCCUGGAGCGGGGCUUCAUCUACGUGCAUAAGCCCCCCGGUGCACAUCCGCUUCGACGAGAUUGCCUUCGUCAACUUCGCCCACGGCACCACCACCACCCGCUCCUUUGACUUCGAGAUCGAGACCAAGCAAGGCACGCGGUACACCUUCAGCAGCAUUGAGAGGGAGGAGUACGGGAAGCUGUUCGAUUUCGUCAAUGCGAAGAAGCUCAACAUCAAGAACCGCGGCCUGAAAGAGGUAUUGGGGCUGGGGCAUGAACCCAAGCUUACUGACGCAGUAUGCCGACUCCGACGAGGGACCAGCAUGAUGCCUACCUGGAGCGCAUGAAGGAGGAGGGCAAGAUCCGGGAGGAGAACGCCAACCACAGCAGCGAGGACUCGGGCGAGAGACGGGUGGGUGCCUGCAGCCGGGUCUGGGAGGGGGGGCUGCUGGGGCUGUGCUGAUGCUCUCUUCCCUGUUCUCUUCCAGACGAGUCCUUCAACCCUGGGGAGGAGGAGGAGGACGUGGCUGAGGAGUGAGUGUGGGGCGUGUUCUGGUGUUAGCACAGUGACCCGCACGGGGUGUCAUGGGACGUGUCCCCUGCAGUGUGCAGGGCCGUGCUAUGCCUGGCGUGGUCUUGAAGCCAGGAAGGACAGUGGGAGGAGCUGGGGUUGCAGAGACACAGUUUCCCCACUGUGCGAGCCAGCAGCUUCUGGGUGCUCCAUGAGCCAGGGCUUUUGAUUCACAUGUCAGAAACGGCACAGGCUGAUGGUGUGGAAGGGCGGUUCUGAAUCUGAGUAGCUGCUGAGCCUGGGGAUGAGAUUGGUUUCAGCCCCUAACCAGAGCGAGGUGCUCCAGUGAGAGAAAUCUGUUACCUGAAUUGGUUUCUCACAAUCUUAGGUUUGCCCCAGGCAGUGCCAGAUGACCCCCCGGAGUCUGAGUGGGGCUUUAACCCUGCGGGCCUCUUCCCAUGGCCCGCCUUGCAUGUGGGCCCUGGGGUCCCCGGCCCUUCCUGGCACUGAGGCGUGCCCACCCUGAGCUGAGGCUGUGCCUGGGUUGGGCCAGGGCGGGCAGCUGGGGCUCAGCCCCGGAAGGACUGGAAGCGAACACUGGCCAGCUGUCUUCCUGGGGAAGCCAGGCUCAGGGAAGGCAAUUAGCCGGGGCAGCUGGCAUGGCCCACCCCAGGCCCCCCGAUAGGAGUCCCAGGCGCUGUUUCCCUGGUUGGUGGGAACAAGCAGAGCAGAGCCCAUGUCUGCCCUGACCGAGGAGUCGCCACGCACCCCUGGUCCAUUCAUGGGGGUGGGGGCAGCCGAGUCUGAGCCCUGUCCCUGGUAGGUUCGACAGCAAUGCCUCGGCCAGCUCCUCCAGCAAUGAGGGUGACAGCGCCCGGGAAGAGAAGAGGAGGAAACAGCUCAAAAGGGCCAAGGUGGCCAAGGAUCGUAAGAGCACCAAGAAGACCGUGGAGGCGAAGAAGGGCAAAGACCCCAACGCCCCUAAGAGGCCGAUGUCUGCGUACAUGCUGUGGCUCAACGCCAGCCGGGAGAAGAUCAAGUCCGACCACCCUGGGGAUCAGCAUCACGGACCUUUCCAAGAAGGCCCGGUGAGAUCUGGAAGGGGAUGCCCAAGGAGAAGAAGG
rnacentral:lncRNA from 1 species